UACGUAGGCAGCGAGCGUUGUUCGGAGUUACUGGGCGUAAAGGGUGCGUAGGCGGUUGUUUUAAGUUUGGUGUGAAAUCUCCCGGCUCAACUGGGAGGGUGCGCCGAAUACUGAAUGACUAGAGUGCGGGAGAGGAGAGUGGAAUUCCUGGUGUAGCGGUGAAAUGCGUAGAUAUCAGGAGGAACACCGGUGGUGUAGACGGCUCUCUGGACCGUAACUGACGCUGAGGCACGAAAGCGUGGGGAGCGAACAGG
rnacentral:rRNA from 1 species